CCUACGGGUGGCAGCAGUGGGGAAUAUUGGACAAUGGGCGAAAGCCUGAUCCAGCCAUGCCGCGUGUGUGAAGAAGGCCUUCGGGUUGUAAAGCACUUUCAGUGGGGAAGAAAGCCUUGGGGCUAAUACCCUCGAGGAAGGACAUCACCCACAGAAGAAGCACCGGCUAACUCCGUGCCAGCAGCCGCGGUAAUACGGAGGGUGCGAGCGUUAAUCGGAAUUACUGGGCGUAAAGCGCGCGUAGGCGGUCUGAUAAGCCGGUUGGGAAAGCCCCGGGCUCAACCUGGGAACGGCAUCCGGAACUGUCAGGCUAGAGUGCAGGAGAGGAAGGUAGAAUUCCCGGUGUAGCGGUGAAAUGCGUAGAGAUCGGGAGGAAUACCAGUGGCGAAGGCGGCCUUCUGGACUGACACUGACGCUGAGGUGCGAAAGCGUGGGUAGCAAACAGGAUUAGAUACCCCGGUAGUC
rnacentral:rRNA from 1 species